UACGGGGGGGGCAAGCGUUGUUCGGAAUUACUGGGCGUAAAGGGCGCGUAGGCGGUGCUCUAAGUUAGAUGUGAAAACUCUGGGCUCAACCCAGAGCCUGCAUCUAAAACUGGAGUGCUAGAGUUCUGGAGGGGGUAGCGGAAUUCCUGGUGUAGCGGUGAAAUGCGUAGAUAUCAGGAGGAACACCGGUGGCGAAGGCGGCUACCUGGACAGAAACUGACGCUGAGGCGCGAAAGCUAGGGGAGCAAACAGG
rnacentral:rRNA from 2 species